rnacentral:rRNA from 1 species
UACGAAGGGGGCUAGCGUUGUUCGGAAUUACUGGGCGUAAAGCGCACGUAGGCGGAUAUUUAAGUCAGGGGUGAAAUCCCAGAGCUCAACUCUGGAACUGCCUUUGAUACUGGGUAUCUUGAGUAUGGAAGAGGUUAGUGGAAUUGCGAGUGUAGAGGUGAAAUUCGUAGAUAUUCGCAGGAACACCAGUGGCGAAGGCGGCUAACUGGUCCAUAACUGACGCUGAGGUGCGAAAGCGUGGGGAGCAAACAGGG